UACGUAGGGGGCAAGCGUUGUCCGGAUUUAUUGGGCGUAAAGAGCGUGUAGGCGGUUUGGUAGGUCCGUUGUGAAAACUCGAGGCUCAACCUCGAGACGCCGAUGGAAACCAUCAGACUAGAGUCCGGAAGAGGAGAGUGGAAUUCCUGGUGUAGCGGUGAAAUGCGCAGAUAUCAGGAAGAACACCCGUGGCUAAGGCGGCUCUCUGGGACGGUACUGACGCUGAGACGCGAAAGCGUGGGGAGCAAACGGG
rnacentral:rRNA from 1 species